rnacentral:lncRNA from 1 species
AAUUAGCACUACAAAAAAAAUUAGACAACCAUUCUCACUAGGACAAAACAUGAACUUUCUGUAAAUUUUAAAUACUGAAAAAUGAAGAUAGUUGACUUUUUUGUAAAUACCGAAAAUUAUGUUAUUUAAUCUGAAUCCUCCGAGUAAAGAAGUCAAAUCAACGAGAGAAAAAUACUCUCUAGAGGGCACCGCUUCAUAGAUCCGAUUUCUCCAAAGCUGUGAGGUCUUUCUCUCCCCAUUUGAUGAUACAACGAACUUUGAUCAUUUCCACUUUCUCCGAGGAAGAAGUUUCAAUCUUUCCAGUUUAGUUCAGACACACUAGUAAAAAGACAGCUAGAGAGAAAAAAGGGUUGAUCGAUUCUUUACGAUUCCUGUCAUGAUUUCCUGAUAAAGUUUCAGUUUCCAAAGUAAAGUGAAGAUACUAGAGAGUAUCGGUAAGUUCAAGAAAGUCUUAGAUUUUACUUAAGUUCCUACUUUCAAUCAUUUCUCGAAAAUUGUUAAGAUCUUUGAAUGAUUCAAGAAAGUCUUUACCUUUUUCCGGGAAAGUGAAUCAAUUUAGCAGAGAAAAUACUCUGUUUUUGCUUAAUCACACCAAAAAUAAAAACCCAUUUUGUCAUUCUAAUAAACGGUGGCAUUAAAUGUUGGUUUGAAUAGAUGAGAAUUUUUGAUUUUAUGGGUUUGGUUUGUAAUUUAAUGCAAAAUCAAAGGGGCAGCAAAGAAGAAAGAGAGUUUGUUUCUACUCUUUUGGUAUCUCUUAUCUCUCUCUCUGUUCUCAUAUUAAAUGCAGAGAUUGUGAUUUUUGAUUUGACCUUUUAACUUCCUUUUACGUGUUUUCAAGAUUUUUUUUUUAUCUUAAAAAAAUUAACAACCAGAAAGUAUCUGGCUUUCCUUCUCCAAACGGUUCUGAGAUUUUCUUCUUCAUUCUAUUGUUUGUAAUUGUUUUAUUUAAUGGUUGAUUUUUAGGUUGGAGGAAGAAAGGUUGAGUGAGUCUCUCUGUUUUUCUGCUGAUCAAGUAAGUUUCUUUUUUAAAUUUGGGUUUUUAGUUUCUGCUCUGUGUGUUUCACUGUUGUGGAAGAUUCCUCUUGAAAAAGUCUUGAUCUUUGAUUCAUGUUUAGGCUUUUCAUUUGGAUUCUAGUUAUUAGAUCUGUAUAUACUCCACCAGUUUUGAUUUUUUUAUUUGUAUUAGAGUAUUAGUUCUUUUUUUUCUUACAAUAGAUCCAAUUGUAUUUUUUUAAUAAUUGAAACUUUUCCUGGGCUUUUCAGUUCUCGAUUCUUCUGUCCUGCAAAUGGAAUUUGCUUAUUGAUAUUUAUCCAUUUUAUUUUAUUUUUAAUAAUGGGACUGAUUGAUUGCAUUGUAGCUGUUUUGAACAAAAGCUUUGCAAAAAAGUUCAAAACUUUAUCUUUCUUGUUUGUAUGACAGUGGAAAUGAUUCAUUCUUUCUAAUACUUUGCCACACUCAUGUAACCUAUGUAAUUCAUUGCAAUCAAUCUUAUCACAAUCGUUACAAGUUACCCAGAUUAAACUUUCUUGCUUAUCAUCAUGGCAUCCCAGCUUUUAUU